rnacentral:rRNA from 1 species
CCUACGGGAGACAGCAGUGGGGGAUAUUGCACAAUGGGGGAAACCCUGAUGCAGCGACGCCGCGUGGGCGAAGAAGUAUUUCGGUAUGUAAAGCCCUAUCAGCAGGGAAGAAGAAAUGACGGUACCUGAGUAAGAAGCACCGGCUAAAUAAGUGCCAGCAGCCGCGGUCAUUCGUAGGGUGAAAGCUUUAUCCGGAUUUACUGGGUGUAAAGGGAGCGCAGGCGGCACAGCAAGCUUGAUGUGAAAGCCCGCGGCCCAACCGCGGGACUGCAUUGGAAACUACCGGGCUGGAGUGCCGGAGAGGUAGGCGGAAUUCCUAGUGUAGCGGUGGAAGGCGUAGAUAUUAGGAGGAACACCAGUGGCGAAGGCGGCCUACUGGACGGUAACUGACGCUGAGGCUCGAAAGCGUGGGGAGCAAACAGGAUUAGAUACCCGGGUAGUC